UGCUAGACGAGUUUGAUCCUGGCUCAGAACGAACGCUGGCGGCGCGCCUAACACAUGCAAGUCGAACGAGAAUCCGGGGGCAACCCGGUAGUAAAGUGGCAAACGGGUGAGGAAUACAUGGGUAACCUACCCUUGAGAAGGGAAUAACCCGCCGAAAGGUGAGCUAAUACCCUAUACGCUAUCUUUUUUUCGAAAAGGAUAGGAAAGCCGGGUCGAGGACCUGGUACUCAAGGAGGGGCUCAUGUCCUAUCAGCUUGUUGGUGGGGUAACGGCCUACCAAGGCUACGACGGGUAGCUGGUCUGAGAGGAUGAUCAGCCACACUGGCACUGAGAUACGGGCCAGACUCCUACGGGAGGCAGCAGUGAGGAAUAUUGCGCAAUGGGCGAAAGCCUGACGCAGCGACGCCGCGUGGGGGAUGAAGGUUUUCGGAUUGUAAACCCCUUUCAUGAGGAAAGAUAAAGUGGGUAACCACUUAGACGGUACCUCAAGAAGAAGCCACGGCUAACUUCGUG
rnacentral:rRNA from 1 species